UACGAAGGGUGCAAGCGUUAAUCGGAAUUACUGGGCGUAAAGCGCGCGUAGGUGGUUUGUUAAGUUGAAUGUGAAAGCCCCCCGGGCGUCAACCUGGGAACGUGCAUCCAAAACUAGGCAAGACUAGAGUAUGGCGAGAGGGUGGUGGAAUUUACCUUCGUGUAGCGGUGAAAUAGCGUAGAUAUAGGAAGGAACACCAGUGGCGAAGGCGACCACCUGGGCGUAAUACUGACACUGAGGUGCGAAAGCGUGGGGAGCAAACAGGAUUAGAUACCCCCGUAGU
rnacentral:rRNA from 1 species